rnacentral:rRNA from 1 species
ACGAGUUUGAUCAUGGCUCAGAUUGAACGCUGGCGGAAUGCUUACACAUGCAAGUCGAACGGUAGAGGGGCAACCCCUUGAGAGUGGCGAACGGGUGAGUAAUAUAUCGGAACGUGCCCAGUCGUGGGGAUAACGUAGCGAAAGUUACGCUAAUACCGCAUACGAUCUAAGGAUGAAAGCGGGGGAUCGCAAGACCUCGCGCGAUUGGAGCGGCCGAUAUCAGAUUAGGUAGUUGGUGAGGUAAAGGCUCACCAAGCCGACGAUCUGUAGCUGGUCUGAGAGGACGACCAGCCACACUGGAACUGAGACACGGUCCAGACUCCUACGGGAGGCAGCAGUGGGGAAUUUUGGACAAUGGACGCAAGUCUGAUCCAGCCAUUCCGCGUGCAGGAUGAAGGCCCUCGGGUUGUAAACUGCUUUUGUACGGAACGAAAAGGUUUCUAUUAAUACUAGGAGCUCAUGACGGUACCGUAAGAAUAAGCACCGGCUAACUACGUG